rnacentral:rRNA from 1 species
GACGAACGCUGGCGGCGUGCUUAACACAUGCAAGUCGAACGAUGAAGCCUAGCUUGCUAGGUGUGUUAGUGGCGAACGGGUGAGUAAUACGUGAGUGACCUACCUUUGACUCUGGGAUAAGCCUGGGAAACUGGGUCUAAUACCGGAUACGACCAAUCUCCGCAUGGGGUGUUGGUGGAAAGCGUUAUGGAGUGGUUUUAGAUGGGCUCACGGCCUAUCAGCUUGUUGGUGAGGUAAUGGCUUACCAAGGCGACGACGGGUAGCCGGCCUGAGAGGGUGACCGGCCACACUGGGACUGAGACACGGCCCAGACUCCUACGGGAGGCAGCAGUGGGGAAUAUUGCACAAUGGGCGCAAGCCUGAUGCAGCGACGCCGCGUGAGGGAUGACGGCCUUCGGGUUGUAAACCUCUGUUAGCAUCGAAGAAGCGAAAGUGACGGUAGGUGCAGAGAAAGCGCCGGCUAACUACGUG